GACGAACGCUGGCGGCGUGCUUAACACAUGCAAGUCGAACGGAAAGGCCCUGCUUUUGUGGGGUGCUCGAGUGGCGAACGGGUGAGUAACACGUGAGUAACCUGCCCUUGACUUUGGGAUAACUUCAGGAAACUGGGGCUAAUACCGGAUAGGAGCUCCUGCUGCAUGGUGGGGGUUGGAAAGUUUCGGCGGUUGGGGAUGGACUCGCGGCUUAUCAGCUUGUUGGUGGGGUAGUGGCUUACCAAGGCUUUGACGGGUAGCCGGCCUGAGAGGGAGACCGGCCACAGUGGGACUGAGAUACGGCCCAGACGCCUACGGGAGGCAGCAGUGGGGAAUAUUGCACAAGGGGCGGAAGCCUGAUGCAGCAACGCCGCGUGCGGGAUGACGGCCUUCGGGUUGUAAACCGCUUUCGCCUGUGACGAAGCGUGAGUGACGGUAAUGGGUAAAGAAGCACCGGCUAACUACGUG
rnacentral:rRNA from 1 species